rnacentral:rRNA from 1 species
GAGCGGGACCUCGGUGUUAGCGGCGGACGGGUGAGUACACGUGGGUAACCUGCCUGAUAGACCGGGAUAACGCUUGGAAACGAGUGCUAAUGACCGGAUAGGCUCUUGGAGCGCAUGCUUCGAGAGGGAAAGAGGCUAUCGCCUCACUGUCAGACGGACCCGCGGCGCAUUAGCUAGUUGGUGAGGUAACGGCUCACCAAGGCGACGAUGCGUAGCCGACCUGAGAGGGUGACCGGCCACACUGGGACUGAGACACGGCCCAGACUCCUACGGGAGGCAGCAGUAGGGAAUCUUCCGCAAUGGGCGCAAGCCUGACGGAGCAACGCCGCGUGAGUGAUGAAGGCCUUCGGGUUGUAAAACUCUGUCUUCUGUGAAGAACAAGCCUGUGAGUGGAAAGCUCAGGCCUUGACGGUAACAGAGGAGGAAGCCCCGGCUAACUACGUGCCAGCAGCCGCGGUAAU